rnacentral:lncRNA from 1 species
AGCAUGCUUCCUGUUUACUCAACAGCUGGCUAAUCAGCUUACACCGAGAAAACGACUGUAACCUGGUGACUUAAGUGCAUGAAGACGCACUUAAUCAUGAAUUCCUGAAAGGUUGUUUCGGUGGUUCCUGUUACAUUUUAAAACACUUAGGACUCAAGGCUUCUAAUAUUUGCUAUUCUAUCCAAACAUAAACAGAUACAGAACAACUCACAAUUAUAACGUAGAAGGUUAAUAAAUGUCUUCUCUUUAACUUAUGGUGCCCUGGAGGUGGAUGGAUGAAUUCCACGAGAGAAUGGCUCAGCAGGAUGAACACAGCACUGCUGUUCUGUGCUGGAGGCUGGAGCAGUGAGGGCAACAGGGAGAGCAAAGAAUCAAUACUACCGACAGCAUAUUAGUUUCUGUUCUGUGAUGACGAUGCAGAGUACAGAGGACUCACUCAGAACUUUGUGGACUGGUGCCAGCAGAACCAGGGGAGGGAGAGUGGACUCUUAGCACCUGGGUGUGCAUCUGAACAAUAAUCUGGACUGGACUCAUCACACAGAUGCACUGAACAGGAAGGGUCAGAGCAGACUCCACUUUCUGAGGAGACUGAGACUCUACCUGUACUUUACUGCAUUGCACUGUGCCAACACGAAGUGUCUGAAGUGCCUUUUUAAUUGUUUUUGAUUAUGUUGCUGUAUUCCUCUGCCCUGUACUGCUGUUGUGCGAAGUGAUUUCCCCGCUGUGCGACUAUUAAAGGUUUUUCUUAUCUCUUAA